AUAAUCCUCCAGCGCGCGGAAUUUUAUUGUUCUUUAUUCUUUAAUGUUUUUAAAUAGAUAUUUGUCAAACACGUCUGAACAAAACAUCCUUAAAAUUAUUAAUUAUUUAAGAAGGAAUAUAGCAAUGUCCAAAGAAGACGAUAUUUUUUUUGUAGAAAAGCAUUUAUUUUUUAAAGAACCUACUAAACAAUUUAAGUCAUGGUUUGAGGAAGCUCGUAACAGAAAAGAAAUUCUAGGAGCAAGUGCUAUGUGUUUAGCAACCACAACAAAAGACGGUUUUCCUUCAGCAAGGUUUAUGAUACUGAAAGCUUACGGAAAAGAAGGCUUUAAGUUUUUGACUGAUUACGGAAGUAGGAAGGCACAAGAGAUCGUAUGUUAAAUUAUUGUAAGUAGAUGACCAGUAUUAUUUCGAGAUUGGUUUAAUUUCAGAAGUAAAGUUACAUUCCAGGCUGAAAAUCCAAAUGUAGCAGCAACUUUCUAUUGGGAAAUUCUAAACAGAUCAGUAAGAAUUGAGGGUAACGUGAAAAAGUUAUCAGACGAUGAAACUGAAAAAUACUUUCACUCUCGACCCAUUCAGAGUCAAAUCGCUACUGUAGUCAGCAAUCAGAGCAUUCCGAUUGAAUCUGCAAACGUGAUGCUCGAGCGCAUGACUAAAUUGCAAGCUCAUUUGGAAUCGGGAAAAAAAGUUUCAAAACCCUCUAACUGGUAAGUUAUUUUUAAUACUGUUCCUAUAUUGUGUUACCUAGCCUUACUUUGGGAACAGUAGGGGUUAGGUGGUAAGGAUUAGAGUGUUAUUUUUUCAACAAACUACUAAAAAUAUUGCAGGGGAGGUUUUCUGAUUGUACCGACUGCUGUUGAAUUUUGGCAAGGGCGGAAAAAUCGUCUAUCAGACCGUAUUCGUUUCCGAAAAUUAAAACCGGGUGAAGUCCUUGACGGGAAAAUUUUGCACAAAGGGGAAGACGGUUGGGUCUACGAACGACUUUCGCCAUAAGUAACCUAUAACGUAUUUGUUUGUAAUUUACAAUUUAAUGUACCUAUGUUAGCCAAGAAUGAAAAGUUGUUUAGAAAAUAAAGUCAUUGUAACUAUUA